AGUGUGUGUGUGUGUGUGUGUGUGUGUGUGUGUGUGUGUGUGUGUGAGAGAGAGAGAGAGUGACCGUGUGUGUGUGAGAGAGAGAGAGAGUGUGUGUGUGUGUGUGUGAUGGAGAGAAAGCGUGAGAGAAGAACGGCGGGCAUAGAAGCCUUUAUUAUCGCCACAUAUACAUUACUGCACAGUGGAAUUCUUUUCUUCACAUACCCCAACUGAGGAGGUUGGGGUCAGAGUGCAGGGGCAGCUAUGAUACAGUGCCCCUGGAGCAAGGAGGGUUGAGGGCCUUGCUCGAGGGCCCGACAGUGGCAGCUUGGCUGUGCUGGGCCCCGAUCCUCCGAUCAACAACCCAGAGCCUUAACCAGUUGUGCCACCUCAGAGAUAGAGAACUGUCCAGAACUGGGGCUGGUUGAAGUUGCACUCUUUUCCACAGUUUGCUGGAAUGAACGAUUACUACAGCCAUUGUUGUUCCUAAGCAGUUUUUCUCAACAUUAUCUACCAUAAAACAUGUCAGAUGAGUUUUUGGCAUGAGAUUUGUAUCUGUAUAUGAUAGUGCUGCAACGACGCGUCGACGUCAUCGAUUACGUUGACUACGAAAGAACGUCGACAUGCGUGAAAUGCGUCGACGCGUCACACUGUUUACAUUCAUCUCGCGUAACGGCGGCUUCUGCUCGUGGGAAUGGAGAAAGUUCCAGUCUAUCACAAAAAGCUAGACCACGACUAUCAAAAGUAUGGGAAUACUUUAAACAGAGGCCAAAUAAAAUGGCAGCACAACUGCGAUGCACGAGCACCUCAGAAGAAAACAUCCUGGCGCUCGCGACCUAAAAAGGACGAGCCAUCUUUGAAGAGGCAAAGCUGUGUACAAGAUUUCUUUCAUAAAAAGGAUGUCACUGUUUGCACGCCCCAAGUGGCCGAUCAUGCAUUUUUGCGCAUUUUUGUUGAGCAGUACUUUUGUUGAAUUUAUAUGGCAUUUUGAAUGCUUUUGAAUUUAUGUGGCAUUAUUCGUGCCUGAUGCUAAAGUGUUGUUUACAUUUUAUUUUUGGCACUUUAUUUUUUGUAUAUUGUAAAAUCUUCAACCACGUUGAAGUAUUUUUGGAAAAAAUGUAAUAAAAGUUAUUUAUUAUAUAUUUUU